GACGGGGGAUGCGAGCGUUAUCCGGAAUGAUUGGGCGUAAAGGGUCCGCAGGUGGCCCGGUCAGUCCGCUGUCAAAACCUGGGGCUCAACCCUGGAGAGGCGGCGGAGACCACCGGGCUUGAGUCCGGUAGGGGCAGAGGGAAUUCCCGGUGGAGCGGUGAAAUGCGUAGAGAUCAGGAGGAACACCGGUGGCGAAGGCGGCAUCCUGGACCGACACUGACACUGAGGAGCGAAAGCCAGGGGAGCAAACGGG
rnacentral:rRNA from 1 species